UCCAAAUUGAAAACGUAACUCCGCAUCUUGAGGAAAGCCACUUGAGAGCGUAUUUGUGCUUUAUAGUCUGUCUGUAAAGCCUAUGGGCCUUCAUUUGUUUGGUGUUGGGAUGUCCGCGGGAGGCGUCGGGGCUCAUACUGAUGUGGGCACCGGGGCAGAGGAUGUCUAGACGGGAUGAAAAUGGAUGUCUUGGUCGGGUUUUCUUUAUAACGCUGUAAUACAUGGGCAAUUAAGCUUCCAAAAUGAGGCUUUUCGUGUCUCUCCUCAAGAAUGCCAACCCUAAAAUCGAGUAUUACUCCAGGUUUUCACCGUCACCUCUGUCCAUAAAGCAGUUUUUGGAUUUUGGCAGGGACAAUGCCUGUGAGAAAACUUCCUACAUGUUCUUGCGUAAGGAGUUGCCGGUGCGACUGGCCAACACGAUGCGAGAGGUCAACUUGCUGCCAGAAAGUCUCCUGAGUCAACCCUCCGUACGGCUAGUGCAGAAAUGGUAUAUGCAGAGCUUUGUGGAGCUGUUGGACUAUGAGAACAGGAAACCAGAAGAUACUCUUGCAUUGAAUGACUUUCUGGAGUUGCUGAUUGAAAUUCGUAAUCGUCACAAUGAUGUAGUCCCCACUAUGGCGCAGGGGGUCAUAGAGUACAAGGAGAAGUUUGGCUUUGAUCCCUUCACCAGCACGAACAUCCAGUACUUCCUCGACCGCUUCUACACCAAUCGCAUCUCCUUUCGCAUGCUCAUCAACCAACACACUCUCCUGUUUGGUAAUGACACCAACCCUGCCCAUCCAAAACACAUCGGCAGUAUAGAUCCGACCUGCUGUGUGGCGGAAGUCGUUCAUGAUGCUUACGACACUGCCAAGAUGCUGUGUGAGAAAUACUACAUGGCAGCACCAAAACUGAAGAUCGAGGAGUUUAACAUGAAAGCUCCAAAAAAGUCUAUCCAAGUGGUGUAUGUGCCCUCCCAUCUGUUCCACAUGCUUUUCGAACUGUUUAAGAACUCAAUGAGAGCCACUGUGGAGCUUCACGAGAACAGUUCAGAGGGACUGCCUCCAGUGAAGGCUAAAGUCACUCUGGGCCUGGAGGACCUGUCCAUAAAGAUCAGUGACAGAGGAGGAGGCGUCCCCCUGAGGAAGAUAGAUCGUCUGUUUAAUUACAUGUACUCCACUGCCCCAACACCGAGCCUAGAGCCCGGAGCUGUUCCACUGGCUGGUUUUGGAUACGGUUUACCCAUUUCAAGGUUGUAUGCCAGAUACUUCCAGGGGGACCUGAAACUCUACUCCAUGGAGGGUGUUGGCACAGAUGCAGUCAUUUAUCUGAAGGCCCUGUCCAGUGAAUCCUUCGAGCGGCUCCCUGUCUUCAACAAAUCGGCAUGGCGACAUUACAAGACCAGCCCUGAAGCAGACGACUGGAGCAACCCCAGCAAAGAGCCCCGCGAUGCCAGCAAGUCCAAUUAUAAAGCUAAUAGAUAACUGCCUGGCCUGUUCUAGCCUAGCUGCCCUUUGUCUGGCAAUGAAAAAUGCCUGCACUCUGAUGUAAUAUGCCCUUGGGUAAAGUUGAUUUUGGUCCCAGGCACACGGACUUUCAGACAAGAGGGUCAAUAUGAAUCUUUCUUUACCCAAUGGCAUUAACCUCAUCAGUCUAUCUUUUUGUUAUUGUAGCAUUACCUCUAAAUCUCCCAAGGUGGAUUUCAGAACUCCUUCUGAAGUAAAACGACGUCUUUGUGAGGAGAUCUAACCACGUCUAGUUUGUGAUACACUGUAAGAAUUCACCACUGCCAUUGCCUUCAACAUCUGCCAUAUACUCCUCACAAAGAGAUAAUAACUAGAGCUGUACGUAGGCUAACCAAUAUGUUAAAAAAAAAGCCUCAUUCAGUUGCUCACCUUUACAUGCUAAUAAUAAUAAUAAUAAAAAUGACAUCACAAUGACUGUAAAACACAUGUACCACCGUGAUUUUUUGACCUCAAGUUGUGUUAGAGACAGCCUGUUUAUAAUGUAUUUUAGAGAUUUAAAGUGUAUAUACAUUUUUGUGAGCUGUACAUGCAGCCAGUGUGGAGUGUUAUAGAUUCAAUUAAACUGCAGCUACUAACUGUCUGUAAGUGUCUUUUUGCAUGACCUUCCCAGUGUAGAGGUCACUGUGCAAAGAUAUGCAAAUAUUACUACAAAUGCCAUUUUGUCAAUCACCAGAUCAAUAUACUGUUGUCACUGGUCAAUAAAGAAAUGGUUGUGAUCUGCCA